GUUCCAGAAGAAACGCUCCAAAGGGACUGCACAGAGCAAUAUGUCCUCCAGCAUGAGCAGUGUGCUAUAUAAAAGAAAGAGAGAUUUUCCUGUUUGGUUAACCAGCUAUCUCCUUUCAGGCAAUGGACAGGGUGCAAACCCACCAAGAUGACUAACUUUUCAUAUAUCAAGAGUCAUGAAUGCACAAUUCAAAGCCAAAAGCAAUAGGCUUCAAACUUAGAAGAGCCAUUGUACUCUAAAUGUGAACUGAAUGCUUUGCACUAUUUCUGAACACAGAAGCGGGGCCUGCUAACAUGGAGAAGGUCUCUCAUCAAAUCUCUGUAGUGCCUGCUGCAUUUGCAGUGAAUCAGCCACUCAGCUAUUGCUGUUAUCUCGUUUUAUUCAAGAGCUCAUCUAUUUGUAUCAUUUUCAAUAUAAUUUAAAAACUCUUUUUUUUGUUUGUUUGUUUGUUUUUUACUUGAGUAGACAAAAUGGUGUAUGACCUUUAGGUGGAGAAAAUGCAGUAUAUUAUGGAGAAAGAUAUUGAUUUUAUAUGUGUUAAUGAUUAAAAGACCUCAGUCUAUAACUCUUAUAAAAAUCUAUAAAUCUUAUACACAAGUAUAGUGCCAUUGUCUUGGGCAAAUUAUUUCAGAGGAAAGAAAGGUUAAACUUCUGGACAAGUUGCCAGACUAGGACUUCUAAUUUGAAACAAACUUCUUGUGUGUUGUUUCCUAGCUGAGAAAUGAAAUAAUUGCUUCUUCUCUUAAUUUUCAACGAUUUAUUUCUCCAAUAAAUCAAGCCUAUUUCCUUAUGUAUAAAAGCA
ensembl:lncRNA